AGUGAACGCUGGCGGUAGGCCUAACACAUGCAAGUCGAACGGCAGCACAGUAAGAGCUUGCUCUUACGGGUGGCGAGUGGCGGACGGGUGAGGAAUACAUCGGAAUCUACUUUUUCGUGGGGGAUAACGUAGGGAAACUUACGCUAAUACCGCAUACGACCUACGGGUGAAAGCAGGGGAUCUUCGGACCUUGCGCGAUUGAAUGAGCCGAUGUCGGAUUAGCUAGUUGGCGGGGUAAAGGCCCACCAAGGCGACGAUCCGUAGCUGUUCUGAGAGGAUGAUCAGCCACACUGGAACAGAGACACGGUCAAGAGUCCUACGGGAGGCAGCAGUGGGGAAUAUUGGACAAUGGGCGCAAGCAUGAACAAGCCAUACCGCGUGGGUGAAGAAGGCCUUCGGGUUGUAAAGCACUUUUGUUGGGAAAGAAAAGCAGCAGGUUAAUACCCCGCUGUUCUGACGGUACCCAAAGAAUAAGCACCGGCUAACUUCGUG
rnacentral:rRNA from 1 species